GAUUGCAACGAUGACCAAGUAAAAUUCAAGCUCAACAGACCGGAAUGCAGGAUUCUGAGAAUUUUGCGUGUCGAUGAAUCACUUACUGAGCAGUC